ensembl:lncRNA
GGGGAGGAGGAGGAGCUGAGGGAGCCCGCGGCGUCUGGCACCGCCAGUCCUCUGCUGGCCCGGGCUCCGCUCUCCUGCGUGGUACCCGCUCCUCAGUGUCCUCCCACCCGAGCCCUGAGCAGCCCCCUGCUUGUGUCCCGUCACCCGGACUCAACCAGUCUUCUCUUCUGUCCCCACCGCCCCCGCAUAAGCUUCCCCCCCCCACCAGCGUGCUGCGAAGUGAACACUUGCUUAACAUAUAAUUCGAUUUUGCAAACGUUUAUUGAGCGCCCUCCAAGUCCCAGCCACUGUGCCAGGGGGUGGGGGUUCAAAGACGACCAAGACAGAGCUGCUGGAUUUGAGGGCCUCGCAGGCCGGGGCGGAGGAUCGGCCGGACGCGAGGGCCACUCGCCGUAACAAUGCAACGUGCUGGGAAAGAUUUAUCGAUAACUCCUCAGAUCACUUCCCAUCACAUUAGCUCCUGAGAGAGAGACCAUUACGAUCCGUGCUCUGUAACUGCCGUGCUCUGUAACUGAGGAAAUUGAGGCUCAGGAGUGGAAGGACGGAUGUGGAGGAGAGGGCAGGAGCUGCCGGAAUACACUAUCAAGAAAAUGAAUACAGAGGCUGGUCCAGUGGCACAGCGGUUAAGUUUGCACGUUCUGCUUCAGCAGCCCAGGGUUCACUGGUUCGGAUCCCAGGUGCAGACCUAUGCACCACUUGUCAAGCCAUGCUGUGGCAGGUGUCCCACAUAUAAAGUAGAAGAACAUGGACAUGGAUGUUAGCUCAGGGCCAGUCUUCCUCAGCAAAAAGAGGAGGAUUGGCAGCAGAUGUUAGCUCAGGGCUAAUCUUCCUCAAAAAAAAAAAAGAAAAGAAAGAAAAAGAAAUAGGCAAGCCACAGACUGAGAGGAAAUAUUCAUAACAGAUAUAUCUGACAAAAAAAUUUACAUCUGGAAUAAAGAACUCCUGCAACUCAAUAAUAAAAAGACAAACAACCCAGCCAAAAAACAGGCAAAAGACGUGAACACACACUUCACAAGAGAAGAUACAUAAAAUAAGCAUAUGAGAAAGUGCUCAUCCAAUAUCAUUUUUCAUCAGGGAAAUGGAAAUUAAAGCCACAAGCAGGUAUCCGUAUGCCUGCACAGAGGGUUAGAGCAAAGAGGACUGAGGACACCAGGCUGGGUGAGGAUGCGGAGCAGCUGGAGCUCUCAGACCGCGCUGUGAGGAUAACAGGGUACAACCACUGUAGAAAACUGUUUGGUGGCUUCUUUAAAAUGUCAAACAUAGGGGCUGGCCCCGUGGCCGAGUGGUUAAGUUCUCGCGCUCCGCUGCAGGCGGCCCAGUGUUUCGUCGGUUCGAAUCCUGGGCGCGGACAUGGCACUGCUCGUCAGACCACGCUGAGGCAGCGUCCCACAUGCCACAACUAGAGGAACCCACAACGGAGAAUACACAACUAUGUACCGGGGGGCUUUGGGGAGAAAAAGGAAAAAAUAAAAUCUUUAAAAAAAAAAAGUCAAACAUACAUCUACCCUGUGAUCCAGCAACUCUGCUCCUAGGUAUUUAUCUGGGAGAAAUAAAAUCAUCUGCCCAUAACACAGGUACGACAAUAUUCAAUGCAUCUUUAAUUCAUAAUAGCCAAAACCAGAAAACAAUCCAGAUGUCCAUCAACAAGUGAAUGGAUAAAUAAAUUGUGGUAUAGCCGUACAGUGGGAUAUUUACUAAUCAGCAGAAAGAAACAAACUACUAUUCAAAGAUUAUCCCCAUCAGGCAAC